rnacentral:rRNA from 1 species
AUACGUAGGGUGCAAGCGUUAAUCGGAAUUACUGGGCGUAAAGCGUGCGCAGGCGGUUUUGUAAGACAGUGGUGAAAUCCCCGGGCUCAACCUGGGAACUGCCAUUGUGACUGCAAGGCUGGAGUGCGGCAGAGGGGGAUGGAAUUCCGCGUGUAGCAGUGAAAUGCGUAGAUAUGCGGAGGAACACCGAUGGCGAAGGCAAUCCCCUGGGCCUGCACUGACGCUCAUGCACGAAAGCGUGGGGAGCAAACAGGAUUAGAUUCCCUGGUAGUCCACGCCCUAAACGAUGUCAACUGGUUGUUGGGGAUUUAUUUUCUCAGUAACGAAGCUAACGCGUGAAGUUGACCGCCUGGGGAGUACGGCCGCAAGGUUAAAACUCAAAUGAAUUGACGGGG